AUGUAUUGUCAUGUUGUGUCUUGUUUCUGUCCUUUCCCUUCACCCUGUCUCCCUCUGCUGGUCGUUAUUAGGUUACCUUUUCUCCCCCUCUUUCCCCCAGCUGUUCCUUGUCUCCUCCUAACUACCUCGUCACCCCUUUUCCCACCUGUUCCCUUUUUCCCUCUGAUUAGUCCUCUAUAUCUCUCUCUGUUUUUGUUCCUGUCUUUGUCGGAUUCUUGUUUGUGUUUUUCAUGCCUGUCUAUAUCUCUCUCUGUUUUUGUUCCUGUCUUUGUCGGAUUCUUGUUUGUGUUUUUCAUGCCUGAACCAGACUAUCGUCAUGUUUGCUGCAACCUUGUCCUGUCCUGUCGGAAUCUGCCGGUCCAUCUGAGCCUACCUAUGUUUUGUUAUUAAAGAAGUUCUGUUUACGUUAAUUCGCUUUUGGGUCCUCAUUCACGCACCGUGACACAGGUUUUUAUGCAACCACGUUUUCCAAAUUCUGUUGAAUAUCUUAUCCUAAUGAAGAUUCAUAGAUGUCUGCAGAAAGAAUGGAGUGUCAGCUAUGACAUGAAACGUGGUUAUUGAACUACAGUAAGUGACGUGGAAUUACACCCGGGAACAGAAUUAUGGUAACGCAAUUCCAUCAUGGCUCCCUGAUUAGUACUACAAAGAAACGCAUAAUUAUGCCUAUGAAAGUCAUGCUCCUUAUGUUUUACCUCAUGUUUUACAUCAGUGCAGCACAGCAGAGAACAGAGCAGCACAAUACAGCAGAGCACAGCAGAGUACAAUGCAGUACAAAACAGCACAGCAGAGUAUGGUAGAGGACAAUGCAGUACAAUACAGCACAGCAGAGUAUGUUAGAGUACAAUGCAGUACAAUACAGCACAGCAGAGUAUGGUAGAGUACAAUGCAGUACAAUACAGCACAGCAGAGUAUGGUAGAGUACAGUGCAGUACAAUAUAGCACAGCAGAGUACAAUGCAGUACAAUACAGCAGAGCAGAGUAUGGUAGAGUACAAUACAGCACAGCAGAGUAUGGUAGAGUACAGUGCAGUACAAUAUAGCACAGCAGAGUACAANNNNNNNNNNGGAGAGGCUGCACCACCUGGAGAAAUGGACAUGGGAGGAAGAACUGGACGGUAAAGGACCCUGGGCUCAGCCCGGAGAAUAUCGCCGCCCCAAGGAAGAACUGGAGGCGGCGAAAGCUGAGAGGCGCAGAUAUGAGGAGGCAGCACGGCGUAGCGGAUGGAAGCCCGGGAGUCAGCCCCAAAAAUUUCUUG
rnacentral:lncRNA from 13 species